rnacentral:tRNA from 1 species
GGGGAGGUGGCAGAGUGGUCGAAUGCGACGGUCUUGAAAACCGUUGGACGUGAGAGCGUCCCCAGGGUUCGAAUCCCUGUCUCCCCGCCA